AAAACCCCCACCGGCGGCUCGAGUGGUAACCGUUAUUAUUGGGUCUAAAGGGUCUGUAGCCGGCCGGAUAAGUCUCUUGAGAAAUCUGGCAGCUUAACUGUCAGGCUUUCAGGAGAUACUGUCUGGCUCGAGGCCGGGAGAGGUGAGAGGUACUUCAGGGGUAGGGGUGAAAUCUUGUAAUCCUUGAAGGACCACCAGUGGCGAAGGCGUCUCACCAGAACGGACCUGACGGCAAGGGACGAAAGCUAGGGGCACGAACCGGAUUAGAUACCCGGGUAGUCCUAGCCGUAAACGAUACUCGCUAGGUGUCGGCCACGGUGCGACCGUUGUCGGUGCCGUAGGGAAGCCGUGAAGCGAGCCACCUGGGAAGUACGGCCGCAAGGCUGAAACUUAAAGGAAUUGGCGGGGGAGCACCACAACGGGUGGAGCUUGCGGUUUAAUUGGAUUCAACGCCGGAAAUCUUACCGGGACCGACAGCAAUAUGAAGGCCAGGCUGAAGACUUUGCCGGAUUAGCU
rnacentral:rRNA from 1 species